rnacentral:tRNA from 1 species
UGCAUCGGCCGAGAAUCGAACCCGGGCCGCCCGAGUGGCAGGUGAGCAUUCUACCACUGGACCACCGAUGG